GAUGAACGCUGGCGGCGUGCCUAAUACAUGCAAGUCGAGCGAACGGACGAGAAGCUUGCUUCUCUGAUGUUAGCGGCGGACGGGUGAGUAACACGUGGAUAACCUACCUAUAAGACUGGGAUAACUUCGGGAAACCGUAGCUAAUACCGGAUAAUAUUUUGAACCGCAUGGUUCAAAAGUGAAAGACGGUCUUGCUGUCACUUAUAGAUGGAUCCGCGCUGCAUUAGCUAGUUGGUAAGGUAACGGCUUACCAAGGCAACGAUGCAUAGCCGACCUGAGAGGGGGAUCGGCCACACUGGACUGAGACACGGUCCAGACUCCUACGGGAGGCAGCAGUAGGGAAUCUUCCGCAAUGGGCGAAAGCCUGACGGAGCAACGCCGCGUGAGUGAUGAAGGUCUUCGGAUCGUAAAACUCUGUUAUUAGGGAAGAACAUAUGUGUAAGUAACUGUGCACAUCUUGACGGUACCUAAUCAGAAAGCCACGGCUAACUACGUG
rnacentral:rRNA from 1 species